GCCCUUUAAAUUAUUUUGCCCUUUUAUCUUCUCUGCUGAAAAAAAAAAAAACCGCCUAUUUCCGUAAUCAAAGAUGCAAAUGAGAAGCCAGAAGUUCAAAUAUGAACUGUGUUCUGACAUGUUCACAUGUAGCUGACAAACACCGAAGCCUAUUGGGUGACCAGAGCAGAGGGUACCUAGAGCCCAGAAGAAUCUAUUCCAUUUGCCCACUGGGGCUCACCUCUUCUGUUUGGAUCGGACUCCAGUGCCAGCAGAAGCUCACCGCACUAACACAGAAUUGUAUCCUAAAAUUUCUGAGAUGAAUGAAACACAUACAACAUAUAUGGAUAUCAAACAUCCUCCUAAGAAGCAGAUGCCAAAAAAAAGGCCUUCAGUGCCAUUUGUCUGGUGUCUCGCUGUAGUGAUUCUUGGAAUCCUCUGUUUCCUUCUCCUUGUAACAACUGCAGUCUUGGGAUCCAUUGUUUUCCAGGGUCAUACGACAAAUGAAACGCAGAAGCUUCCACUGGACAAUAGGACCCAGCAAGACGAGUCCACAUUUAAAAACACGACUAUCAUAGAGUUUCCACUUAACACAGGACACAAGAGGAACAUAUGUAAAACUCAAUGGUCAUGCCGUGGAGAUAAAUGUUACCAUUUUUCACGUGAUUUCAACACUUUUCAAGACAGUAAGAAUAUCUGCAAGAAUAUGGGCGCCACACUUGUUAAGAUAGAAGAUGAAGAAGAACUGGUGAUGCAUCUGUUGACAAAAGAAAUCUCAACUUGGGGUUCACAGUUAUACAGAGGGUCCAAGUAUGAGUUUCAGGAUCUAGAAACUGUAUCUUUCCUACAGGUUAUCUUCAUUGAGAAUUAAUGCCAUAUAUACGCAAACCCUGAAAUUGAUGCCAAAGCUUUGUAUUUAGAUGCACACAUCUCUGGGUAGAGUGACUAAGCUUUCAUCAUCUUCCCAAAGGAGUAGAAGACAAACAGAAAAAUAAAAACGGAGGGUGAAAAUUAAAGCAGAAUGGAGAAAAAUAGAAAGUACGGCCAGAAACCCUCAAUUUAACCCCCUUUCACUUGUUGUCUUGUGUGACUAAAUCAACUAGAGCGUCAGUCUCCUCACUUGGAAAAGGUGGAGAGUAGGCAAUGAAACUGGCUGUCAUGGUAACUACACCUGGAGUGAGCAGAGCAUAACGUGUGGAAAGUUGAACUGCUAUACUUACUGUACCCCUUAAAUCAAUAAUUGUGUGUCCACUGUUUUCAAAUAAAUAAAAAAGAAAUGAGUGACCUAUUAUAACCCCCCUGUGAAAGACUGCAUUUUCCUUACAAUACAAUUAGGAAGAUCAAGGAAGACAAUACAUGUGCAAAUGCUUUGUAAAAAUUAAAGUACAAGGUGAAUAUCGAUUAUUUAAUACUUACUAAGUAGUUUCCAGCCAGCUAUAGAAAUAGUCAUUUGAUGGGGUAAGUACUCCUUCCUCAAGAUGUCCAUUUUGCAAGAAAUAAAUGUGGUGCUUGUGUAACAAAAAUAUAAGACAACAUUGGUAAAAAAAGAAAGUCAUAUCUAUCACACCUGCACUCCAAGGUAAAAAUCAGACUUUGUUCAGAACUCAUCUUUGAGCUACAGGAAUAAGUUAUGAAAAGAAAUUAAAAAAUAAACAUAGCGAAGAGAAGAGAGUCUUCUUUCAUGCCUCGGUAUUUAAUAAAAUAUCAAUAACUGAGAUUUCAUUAUUUUACAAUUUAAAUAGAAUCGGGAUGAAGUUAAUUUUCUGUUUUAUGUUAUACACAACAAUAAAAUAAUAAUAACAGGAUUGUUGCUUAUAUUCAGGAACAUAAAAAGAUUUUGGUCAUAAAAUAUGUUCCUUUUAUUACAGAACUUCAUUCGAAGUCAGAUGCACUUGUACACUUGGAUUGGGCUCUCCCGUAAAGGAACCAGCAUGUCAUGGAAAUGGGAAGAUAACUCAAAUCCCUUUCUCCAAGUGAUAAGUGACUGGAAAGAGACAAAAGGUGGAAACUGUGCAAUUAUGACAAAAAUGAGGAUGAUUGCUUCUGACUGUUACAAACUCCUGCCCUUUACUUGUGAGAAGAGAAUUCCCUGUGUGGCUACCUCAUAAUAGGAACAACAAAAGACAAGGACGAUAGUUUUUCUUGUAAAGAACCAGACUUCUUAAAGUCCUAGAGUCUUCCUCUCUCAUUUCAGAAUGUCUUUGCUUUUUUAUGGCCUGUACCAAUAUGCCAGCCUCUGGCAUAGAUGAUGCUGGAAUAUUGGGUGCACCAGCGUGAGCGACAUCAGACCCCUCACCUCUGCCCUUUCACGUGGAGACAGCCACGUUACGAGCACAGGUUGGUGGAGUAAGAGAGUAUCAGCUUUCCUGAUGAGGAUUAAGAAGGAAACUUCUCCAUACUGUUUCUACAACUCACACGGAUUUAGGAAGGAAUCCCGCAAACUUCAGUCACCAUCAUGCACGUUUUGUCUGGAAAUCAAUGCCACCAGUCAUUACAAGGAUUAUUCUCUAUGAAUGCGUAUGCAUUUCUAUUUGAUUCCUUCCUUUUCAAGAGGAAGACUGUGUUGUAUCCUAGAAAGCAAUAGGAUCUCGAAUCAGAUUUAAGUCUCAGUUAGCUAUGUGCCCUCUGGCAACUUGAAACUUCUGGGUCAUAAUUUCCUCAUCAGUGGGUAACUACAAACUGCAUUUGUAAAGUGGCUGUACCAUUUUGCAUUCCUAUCAGCAGGGUAUGAAAUUCCAUUUGUUUGAAUCUCUCCAACAUUUAAUGCUGC